CCGGUAAAAGUACAUGUCAACAAGGAAUUAUGCUUUACAUACACGACCUCGGCACUGUCAAGAUUAGUUUGGGCAGCAAGUUUGACAAUUUUUAUAAAAUUCAUCCCAACUCCGUUUUCUAUGAAAUUUGCGGAAUUAGAAAGAUAAUUUCAAGUAGUUUUCUAGGUUAAAAUAUGAGAAUUUUCCAGAUCAUAAGAUAUGGACGUUUUACUGAAAACAGUGAAAUGUUGCACAGAAAAUCCAGAUUGACCCAUUGAUGUUUAAACCUUGAUAACUCAGGCCAUAGAUAUCCAAAUUGAGUGAUUCCUGCGUCCAUAUCUAGAAAACUCAAAGAGGAAAACAGACAUAUUUUUAGAGUCUCAAAUUGACGUUUAUAGAGUUAGAAACAUCGUUUUGAAAUUGACUACAGAAACUGUCCCGUUUCUACCUUUUGUCUCUUGCAAGGAAAAUAAACUACAAAAAUGUCUCUUAACAUAACAUGAAAGAUAUAAUUACAAAAUUUACUAUUAAUACCAUAUUACAUCAUGUCAUGUACAUAUUUUUACAUAAUACCAUAAGAAAAACAUAUGGAAAAACAGUCAUCGAACAAAACAUACAAAAGAAAACUUUCGGUACAAACAUCUUUGUCCUUAAUCCAUCAUCGAUUUUGCCAACUAACUUCCAUCGAUCCAAUGAUCAUGGAUCUGAAAAUUUACCAUAACAUACUAUGAGUAUAAAUAAUACUCAGUAAGAUACCAUGCUUGGAUUUUUAUCAUGAUAAUACUACACAAAAGAAUGCAAUCAAACCCAUACUUGCACAUUCCGGCUUGUCGGUGCCCUUCGGACUUGUCCUAAGGCAUAAAUAGAUAUCUAACUUUAUGGACUUGUCCACCAUAAUCAUAUUAUGGUUUUUCAUGCAUAGUUUAAGCAUAAAUAUUACCAUGAAGAUCAUAUUCCUUAAGCAUAGAAAGUAUCUUACCGUAAAACUUGAAGAUCUUCGAUUGAGAUAUAAAUUGGAAGUGCUAGGCUUACUUCCUUCUCCUUUCCUUUCUUAUUUUCGGUUUUUUCCUCUCUAUUUGUGUGUAUAAAUGUUUUGCAAAGUGAAGAAAUUUUCUCUAUAGCAAUGGAUAUAUAUAUAUAUAAGGAUAAAAGGCUUGAUAUUUUUUUUUCUUUUUUCUCUACUCCACCGCCUCACCUCCUUUUUCUCCCAUUUUUCUUUUUUUUUCUUACUUCUACACAUGUUUAGUCUAUUGUCUAAGUGUAUGGUGAUGAUAAAUGACAAGUGGGUUGAUUAUAGGGUAAUAAGUGGCCACAAAACUUAGAUUUACAUAGGAAGUCUCUCAUCUUUUCAACUAAUAUAAUCUAACCCCUCUAACUUUCAUUAUUAACAAAGCAUAUCCCAAAUUUAAACUUGUAUCCAACUUACAUAUUCAAAAAUUGUAGAUUGUAAAAUAAUUUAAUCGUUUGGUCAAUUGAGGUCCUAACAAAAUAAUCCACUUCAUUCAAAUUCAAACUUGACUUAAGUUUCGACUAACUAAUAAUCACUUCAUGUAUACACAACAUUUAGCAUUUCAUGCUUGCAUUCAUUAGCUACCUCUAGCAUUAACCACUACAAAGGUGGUGUCCCCUUUUCCUUAUGGCCAAAAAGAAUGUUGAAAGUUAAAUCAUUAUCCUACGGAAAUUUAAACGAGCAUAAAAUUUCGGAGUAUUACAUCCCUCCUCCCUUAAAAAAAAUUUCGUCCUCGAAAUUACCUUGAACUUAGUUGAAAAGUUCUGGAUACUUGGUCUUGAUUUCUUCUUCUCUUUCCCAAGUCGAUUCCUCGACAUUAUGGUUCCUCCAUUGAACUCUUACUAACGGAAUUUCUUUUGUCCUUAAUUGCUGGAUUUUGCGAUCCAAUACUGCUACUGGUUUUUCCUCAUAUGUCAUAUUUUGUUUGAUAUCCAAUGGUUGAUAACUAACCACAUGACUUGGAUCUAACACAUAUUGUUGAAGCAUUGACACGUGGAACACAUCAUGAACCGCUGACAAAUCUGGUGGUAGAGCAAUUCGAUAAGUUGCAUUUCCAACUUUCUACAAAAUUUCAAAAGGACCUAUGAAUCUUGGUCGAAGUUUUCCUUUCUUCCCAAAACGCAGAACUCCCUUCAUCGGCGCCACUUUUAUGAAAACUUUGUUACCAACAUUAAAUGUCAAAUCUUUUCUCCUUUUAUCGGCAUAACUCUUUUGUCGGUCCUGAGCUGCCUUGAUUUUAGCUCUUAUUUUAUCAACCGCUCGACUAGUUUCUUCAAUUAUUUCGGGUCCUAGAACUCUUCGUUCACCUACUUCAUCCCAAUAAAGGGGAGCUCUACAUCUUCUGCCAUAAAGGGCUUCGUAAGGUGCCAUCUUUAUCGUAGCUUGGUAGCUAUUAUUAUAGCGAACUCUACCAGUGGCACAUAGUUUUCCCAACUGCCCCCUAAAUCAAGGACGCAUGCACGUAGCAUAUCCUCUAAAGUCUGUAUAGUCCUCUCCGAUUGUCCAUCAGUUUGUGGAUGGAAAGCUGUGCUGAAGUUUAACUUGGUUCCCAUAGCCUCUUGCAAACUUUUCCAAAAUUUUGAGGUAAAUCUUGGAUCUGCUGACAAAAAGACCUAUGCAUCGUUUUAUAUUUCUCCACCAAAAUAUGCUCCUUAGAUCACGAUACAUUUUUGUACCUCCUGGAUGGGCAGUAUAUGGAGUUAAGUGUGCUUCUUCAAGAAUUUCUUUCCUCAGUCCCUCAUCUUUCGGCACACAUAACCUUCCUUUCGCUUGCUAGUACCAACUUCGGAUUUGAUCUUUUGUAGGAAAGGGUCACCAUCACUACCUAAUUCAAAAUCCUUUCGCUUGCUAGUACCAACUUCGGAUUUGAUCUUUUGCAGGAAAGGGUCACCAUCCUGUGCUACUCUUAUUCGAUCUCUAAGUGUUGGUCGAACCGUUAGAGCCGCUAUUCUGGUGCUAGUUUGGGUUGGAGGAACAAUUACUUCUAGAUGUAAGUUGUCGAAAUCCUUUAACAACUGGUCCUGCAUAGUGAUUUGUACCGCUAAUUGUCCAGCUGCCUUUCUGCUAAGAGCAUCAGCUACCACAUUAGCUUUACCAGGAUGGUAAUAGAUAGUACAAUCAUAAUCCUUUACUAGCUCUAGCCAUCUCCUCUGCCUCAUAUUUAAUUCCUUUUGGGUGAAAAAAUACUUCAAACUCUUAUGAUCAGUAUAAAUGUCACACUUAUUUCCAUACAAGUAAUGACGCCAUAUUUUGAGGGCAUUAACUACCGCAACCAAUUCUAGAUCAUGGGUUGGGUAAUUUUGUUCAUAUUGUUUCAAUUGUCUGGAAACGUAGGCUAUCACCUUUCCUUUUUGCAUCAGAACACAUCCUAUGCCCUGUUUUGAAGCAUCGCUAUAUAUAACGAAUCCUUCUGGUCCGUCAGGUAUUGUUAACACUGGAGCUGUGACUAAUUUUCGUUUCAGCUCUUGGAAGCUUUGUUCACAUUGCUCCGUCCAUUGAAAUUUUAUCCCUUUUCGAGUCAAUUGGGUCAAUGGUCCUGCCAUUUUAGAAAAUCCCUCGAUAAAUCUUCUAUAAUAACCAACCAAUCCCAAGAAACUACUUAUUUCUCUAACAUUGGUUGGUCUUACCCAAUUAUUUACUGCUUCCACUUUAAUUGGAUCUACUUCAAUUCCUCGUGCUAUGAUUACGUGCCCCAGAAAAAGUAUUUUAUCCAACCAGAAUUCACAUUUCUUAAAUUUGGCAUAAAGCUUCUCUUUUCUUAGAGUUUCUAAGACCAUCAUGAGAUGUUUCUCGUGUUCCUCCUUAUUCUUCGAAUAGAUUAAGAUGUCAUCAAUGAAAACUAUAGCAAAUUGGUCCAAGUAUUCAUGGAAUACUCUGUUCAUUAGAUCCAUAAAUACUGCCGGGGCAUUAGUUAAUCUAAAAGGCAUCACCAAAAAUUCAUAAUGACCAUAACGCGUCCUAAAAGCCGUCUUAGGGAUAUCAUCUGACUUAAUUUUCAAUUGGUAAUAUCCUGAUCUUAAAUAGAUCUUUGAAAAUACUGUAGCCCCCUUAAGCUGGUCAAACAAAUCUUCUAUUCUUGGAAGUGGAUAUUUGUUUUUGAUAGUGAGGCGAUUCAAUUCUCGAUAGUCAAUGCACAGCCUCAUUGUUCCAUCCUUCUUUUUCACAAAUAACACAGGUGCACCCCACGGUGAUACACUUGGUCUAAUGAAACCCUUAUCAAGAAGCUCCUUCAACUGUACCUUCAGCUCUUGUAGUUCCAAUGGUGCCAUACGAUAUGGAGCCUUUGAAAUGGGUGUUGCUCCUGGUACCAAAUCAAUGGUAAACUCUACUUGUCUGUCUGGUGGUACACCUAGAAGGUCUUCUGGAAAAAUGUCUUUAUAGUGUCGAACUAUUGGAACAUUCUCAACUGACAACUUAUCUUGUUUAAUAUCGGUCAUCGACACUAGAAAUCUUUGAUCUAAUUCCUUUCUCAGCAUCCUUUCAACCUGGGUUGUUGACACUACACCAGACGAGGUAUUUACCUCAGUUCCCACAAAACGGAACUCUUCUUCGGCCGGUCUUCGAAAAACCACCAUUCUCUCAGUACAAUAAAUAGUUGCAUAGUUUUUAGACAACCAGUCCAUACCAAGAAUAACAUCAAAGUCUUUUAUCGUUAAUGGAAUUAGAUCUACCGCUAUACCUCUACCAUCAAUUUCCAUCCUAAGAUCUCUAGCUAUUUGGUUAGCGACAAGUAUCUUUCCAGAUGGAAGAGAUAUUUCUAAAGUAUAUGGAAGGAAUUCACAUUCCACUUUAGACUUCGCAACAAAAGAAGAAGAAAUGAACGAAUGUGUAGCUCCAGAAUCUAUAAGUACAAAUGCAAGAAUAUUGGAAACAGAGAUGAUACCUGCGACGACAUUAGGGUCUCGUUCAGCUUCUUGCCUGGAUAAGGAGAAAACUCUUGCUUUUCCUUUCUUAUCACCUCCAGUCUUCUAUGUCUGAUUCUGGGGACAUUCUUUAACAAAAUGUCCUGAUUUCCCACACUUGAAACAAACAUUUUUACCCAAUAGACAUUCUCCUUUGUGAGGUCUAUCACACUUAGGACAACGCCCUUCACCACUAACUCCUGCUAUAUCCGUUCUUCCUUUCUUUGGUGCAUUAUUCCCUUUUCCUUUACCAGUAUUCUAUCUAUCAAAGUUCUACUUCCUCUUACCUGAGAAAUUUUGAACUUGGUAAGAAUUUCCAACUUUUUGAGUUCUUUGAUAAGAAAUAGUCUGGGCUCGCUUUAGGAUUUCUCGAUAAGUGCCCAGCUCAAGAACUGACACUAUGUCACGAAUAUAAGGUUGAAGCCCACGUUCAAAUCUUCUAGCCCGCUUUUCCUCGGUAUCCACUAAAUGUGGAGCAAACUUUGAUAAUUCCUCAAAUUUGCGUUCAUAUUCUACGAGGGUCAUGGUCCCCUGCUGAAGUCUAAGGAACUCCAUCUCCUUUUGAUCUCUCACAGCUGCCGGGAAGAAUUUUUCUUCUACAAGUUCUUUAAACCUUUCCCAAGUUAUAGCCUGUUCUUCAGCAGGUGUUAAUGACCUAGUAGUCAUGUCCCACCAAUGGCUAGCCCCCUUCUUUAACAUAAACACUAAAAAUGUUACCCUUUCAGCAUCGUCACAUCUUAUAAAUUUAAAGAUGCGUUCUAAUUCUCAUAACCAAUCCUCAACUGCUAAAGGAUCCGUACUCCCCUCAAACGAUGGAGGGUUCAAUCUUCACAAAACCACAAGCUUCUGUCCUUGUGGGGGUUCUUACCAUUCGUGCCAUAACUAGGACAAACAUUGAUUAUGUUACUCUACAAGGUUCUCAUAAAUAUCUAGAUAUAAGUGUUUAUGGCUUCAUAAUUUCAAUCAUGACUUGAUUAAAAAUAUUCUCAUAUCCAGCCAUAGAUAUAACAGUUCGUUACAUAAGAAAACUCAUGAAUUUAAAAAUAAAUUUUACCUUGAUCGUUGGUUGAAAGUCAGUUGCUAGCUUGCUCGAAGAUUAAGGACAGUAACUUUCUUUUAAAAAAAAUCUACAGAAAAGUAUAACUGCUCUGAUACCAAGCUGUGACGCCCCGAACUUAAGCUUCGAGGGUCACGUACUAAACAUAAUAGCUUCUGCCUUUUGUACAUGUAAAUACUCUUAAAUAGGAGUAUUUCAUGUCAAAAACUUAUUUUCAAUUUGAUAAAAUCAUUCUUAUAAAAUUUGAUGGCCGGUAAAAGUACAUGUCAAUAAGGAAUUAUGCUUUACAUACACGACCUCGGCACUGUCAAGAUUAGUUUGGGCAGCAAGUUUGACAAUUUUUAUAAAAUUCAUCCCAACUCCAUUUUCUAUGAAAUUUGUGGAAUUAGAAAGAUAAUUUCAAUUAGUUUUCUAGGUUAAAAUAUGAGAAUUUUCCAGAUCAUAAGAUAUGGACGUUUUACUGAAAACAGUGAAAUGUUGC
rnacentral:lncRNA from 1 species